rnacentral:lncRNA from 1 species
CCUAUUGAAGGCAAAAUUAAAAUUGAAUUAAUUACACUUCAUUUUCUUUGUUUUUUCCCUCCCUCCCUCUCUACCUUCUUUCCUUCCUUCCUUUUUCUUUCCUUUUUUGCUAUUCAACAGGGGAACAAAUAAAGCCAGAAACAUUGUAAAUACAUCAAUUUACUCAAGUAAUUUAUAUGCUUAAUGUCAUGCUAAUCCUUCCUCCCAAAAAAUUGAAAGUUAAAAAAAUUACUUUGGGU